rnacentral:rRNA from 1 species
AUUGAACGCUGGCGGCAGGCCUAACACAUGCAAGUCGAGCGGAUGAAGGGAGCUUGCUCCUGGAUUCAGCGGCGGACGGGUGAGUAAUGCCUAGGAAUCUGCCUGGUAGUGGGGGAUAACGUCCUGAAACGGGCGCUAAUACCGCAUACGUCCUGAGGGAGAAAGUGGGGGAUCUUCGGACCUCACGCUAUCAUAUGAGCCUAGGUCGGAUUAGCUAGUUGGUGGGGUAAAGGCCUACCAAGGCGACGAUCUGUAACUGGUCUGAGAGGAUGAUCAGUCACCCUGGAACUGAGACACGGUCCAGACUCCUACGGGAGGAAGCAGUGGGGAAUAUUGGACAAUGGGCGAAAGCCUGAUCCAGCCAUGCCGCGUGUGUGAAGAAGGUCUUCGGAUUGUAAAGCACUUUAAGUUGGGAGGAAGGGCAGUAAGUUAAUACCUUGCUGUUUUGACGUUACCAACAGAAUAAGCACCGGCUAACUUCGUG